rnacentral:rRNA from 1 species
UGACCUCCUUCGGGAGGGGAUUAGUGGCGAACGGGUGAGUAACACGUGGGCAAUCUGCCCUGCACUCUGGGACAAGCCCUGGAAACGGGGUCUAAUACCGGAUACUGACCCGCUUGGGCAUCCAAGCGGUUCGAAAGCUCCGGCGGUGCAGGAUGAGCCCGCGGCCUAUCAGCUUGUUGGUGAGGUAAUGGCUCACCAAGGCGACGACGGGUAGCCGGCCUGAGAGGGCGACCGGCCACACUGGGACUGAGACACGGCCCAGACUCCUACGGGAGGCAGCAGUGGGGAAUAUUGCACAAUGGGCGAAAGCCUGAUGCAGCGACGCCGCGUGAGGGAUGACGGCCUUCGGGUUGUAAACCUCUUUCAGCAGGGAAGAAGCGAAAGUGACGGUACCUGCAGAAGAAGCGCCGGCUAACUACGUGCCAGCAGCCGCGGUAAUACGUAGGGCGCGAGCGUUGUCCGGAAUUAUUGGGCGUAAAGAGCUCGUAGGCGGCUUGUCACGUCGGUUGUGAAAGCCCGGGGCUUAACCCCGGGUCUGCAGUCGAUACGGGCAGGCUAGAGUUCGGUAGGGGAGAUCGGAAUUCCUGGUGUAGCGGUGAAAUGCGCAGAUAUCAGGAGGAACACCGGUGGCGAAGGCGGAUCUCUGGGCCGAUACUGACGCUGAGGAGCGAAAGCGUGGGGAGCGAACAGGAUUAGAUACCCUGGUAGUCCACGCCGUAAACGGUGGGCACUAGGUGUGGGCGACAUUCCACGUCGUCCGUGCCGCAGCUAACGCAUUAAGUGCCCCGCCUGGGGAGUACGGCCGCAAGGCUAAAACUCAAAGGAAUUGAC